rnacentral:rRNA from 1 species
AACGAACGCUGGCGGCAGGCUUGACACAUGCAAGUCGAGCGCCCCGCAAGGGGAGCGGCAGACGGGUGAGUAACGCGUGGGAAUCUACCCAUCUCUACGGAAUAACGCAUGGAAACGUGUGCUAAUACCGUAUACGUCCUUCGGGCGAAAGAUUUAUCGGAGAUGGAUGAGCCCGCGUUGGAUUAGCUAGUUGGUGGGGUAAAGGCCUACCAAGGCGACGAUCCAUAGCUGGUCUGAGAGGAUGAUCAGCCACACUGGGACUGAGACACGGCCCAGACUCCUACGGGAGGCAGCAGUGGGGAAUAUUGGACAAUGGGCGCAAGCCUGAUCCAGCCAUGCCGCGUGAGUGAUGAAGGCCCUAGGGUUGUAAAGCUCUUUCACCGGUGAAGAUAAUGACGGUAACCGGAGAAGAAGCCCCGGCUAACUUCGUGCCAGCAGCCGCGGUAACAC